AAAACCCGAAACUUCUCAAAGUGAUCUAUCUUCUCAAUUCUUCAAAAGUGAUAUUAUUUUGGAAUUUGGGCUUCGAGAAUAAACAGUUAAUGACUCUUUAGCAUAGAACGAUACUGCAAAAACACAAUAAGAACUAGAAAGACAAUCUUGUUAACAUACAAAUGAGGAUAAUGUCCAUAUAAUAGUUGCAUCUCCUGAUCUGUAAUCCUAGGCCGAUAACGUGGAAGCAUCUGGGUCUUGCCGCGAUCUUCUGAUGGAGGACGAACGACAUGAAUCUGUGACUUUUUAGUACAUAGGAAGAAGGGGGCGUAUGAUUUAACUAUCAGAAGGAUUUGGCGAUAUUAGAAGCAGAUGAGACGAAUAUUGGAUUCGCCACAGGAUGAUAAUUGGUUUUUAGACUCUAAGCUUCAACGAGAGUUCUUGAAGAAUUGGAUGACUAGUGAUUUUAGGGAUUGUAAAGUCAAUCGUUGGGAAAAAAAUAGCAAAACCAAAUCUGAAAAAAAAAGAAAUAAAAAAGAUGAGAAGAUAUAAAAAAAAUAGACUUUACUAGUUAUAUAUAUAAAAUCAGGUUUAAUCUUUUCUAGGAUUCACCACUAAUUUUUGAAUUUCGAAAAUCCAAUCAAACCAAAAUCUCCUAACUAAAAUUCAACUCACUAGUUACGCUCAUAAGAGGGCAUUUUGAGUCUUUUCACUUAGAAGCUGCUCUAGUAGCACAAACUGCCCUAAAGCAUUAAUAAAACUCGUAAACUGUCUAUAAAUGACUCAAGAAUAUUAGAGCAAAAUUAUUUUUUUUUACAAAAAGAUGUCCAUAUUUCUAGUUUAUUUCUUUUAAGGCCCAUCAGCCCAGUUAGCCAUUAAUGGGACUCUUGUUAACUAGUCCAACUGAACACGUCCCCACACAUAUUGUCAUGGGCGGUUUCUACAAACGCCACGUUUAGCGUUUCAUUUAGACAAACGCGGAAAAAAGGUAGAGUCCCCUUUAGCGUUUCUCUCACCCUCCUUUUUUAUUAGUCUGGGUUUCUCGAAUUUAGUGUAAAGUUUGAAUCUUUCGGGGAGAAGUUAUAAUUGAUAAGUGUAGAGCUUUGCUCUGUUUUUGCAAUUGAUUCUCUUUUGCUCUGUUUUUGUGUGUAAUGAAAAGAGGACACUGAAAGCUGGGAAGUUGAAUGAGAGAGUUCUAAGACUGUUUAUGGCGUCUGGAAACGAAGAAGUUCUUUCUGUUAUCGACGCUCUUAAAAUCAAAAUCGACGUCACUCCCAUUAUUCCUACUCGAUGUCAUGAGAGAUUUGGAUUGAACGAAAUGGACUAGACGCUAAGUUCCCUAGUUGAAUGAUGAUGGCAAUGAGCGGGUUUUGAAGCUCGGUCCCUUCUGUUGAAAUGUCGGUUCCUAAUUUCGUCAAGGCAGAAACAACGAUCUGGAUCAGAAGUGAAGAUACAUUGAUGGAACAUGGAGUAUGUAUGUUAUUAAUAACAACGUUCUUCUUCUUCUUGUGUGUAAGUAUUAGCGGGAUGAGGUCUAAUUGUAUAAGUUUUUUGUUCCCGUUCCUAUGAAAGUUUGUAUGCAAUCAUGGAAGGUUCUUGUUUGCUGCAGAGUUCUGUUUUAAGUUUCUAUUCUAUUGUUUGGUCACCUGACUUUCCAGUUCCAUGUUAUUCAAGUAUAUAGCUCAAGUCCAGUUCCAUCUUAUUUGAGUUAUAUGUAAGAUAUGAUAUUUGUUCUGUCUACAUCUGUUGAGACUAAACACCUCCUGUUUAAACUUUGCGGAAGAAUCAGAAUCAUCGCACAUUCUUGCAACUCUCGUGACUUCCAAUGAGAUAAGAAAGCCAUCAGGACAUCCCAAAAUAAGUUCUAGCCUAAGCUGAUUAGAAUGCGGAAGAUAAUGGGCCGAAACGACACAAGAAGUGGUUAGCAAAAUGAACAAGAUGAAAAUGUGAAAACGAAACUAAGGAGAUAAUAUUAAAAAUGAAUGUUAAAGGUGGUGGAAUGGUAUGGUGACAUAAGAAAUGGUGUUACCAAGGAAGCUGCCCUUGUCGGCCAGUCCCUAUCUCUUCACACUUGGCAUUACCAUAUAGGAAGGUUCAGAGAUCAAUUUGAACCCAAAUCAGUUAAAUUCGUAUUAUUUGUCGUUUGGCUAAUUAGCUCUGCUUUCUUAUCCUUAGGUGAAACGUUGUUUUCGCCGUUUGUUUUUCUCCUCUAGUUUUCUUGUGAUGUAAAAAACAUACUGUAUUAUUACGUGCAGAUAAUAAUCUGAUUGUUUCAAACGCAUGUCUACGCUUGUAUUUUUUUGUUAUCAUAUGUUUUUUUUUUUGUUAUCAUAUGUUACUUCGUUAUCGCUGACUUUUCUGUCUUGAGAUAAUGAUAUCAUCGCAGCCGGCUAAAUGGUGUCAUUGGGUCCGGAGAAA